rnacentral:rRNA from 1 species
UAUGUAGGGGGCUAGCGUUGUCCGGAUUUAUUGGGCGUAAAGAGCGUGUAGGCGGCCAGGUAGGUCUGCUGUGAAAACUCGAGGCUCAACCUCGAGACGUCGGCGGAAACCAUCUGGCUAGAGUCCGGAAGAGGAGAGUGGAAUUCCUGGUGUAGCGGUGAAAUGCGCAGAUAUCAGGAAGAACACCGGUGGCGAAGGCGGGUCUCUGGGCAGUAACUGACGCUGAGGAGCGAAAGCGUGGGGAGCGAACAGG